AUGCUGAGGGAAUUGUCACAAGCUGUCCACAGGGCCAGGCUAUGAUUGCUGGAUUGGGUCGUGGAGCCAACCCCAGUGGUUCAGGGCCCCUGCAGCUGUGGUAAACUGAUGUGACCAUCUGCGCCUCUUUGGGUGGCUUUAAACGCAUUCAUGUGACCACAGACACCUUUUCUGCCAUGGCUUGGGCCACUCCUGUGACAAGUGAAGGCUCUGGCUUUGGCAUUCCACACUGGCCAGGCUGCUUUGCUGUUAUGGGCUUGCCUCAGGAAAUCAGAACACACAACGGGGCAGGAUACACAGCCUGGCAAACCCAGGAUUUCUCAGCUCCUUGGGGAGUGAAGCAUAGCACAGGCAUUCCAGGGAACUCCACACGUCAGCUGUCAUCAAAAGGACACAUCAGGUCCUGAAAGGACUGCUUGAUAAACAAAAAAUGGGGCAGGAUGGGCUGAGCCCACAGGACAGAGUGCUGAAAGCCGUCCACACUAUGAAUCCUCUGUGGUUAGUAGGCAAUCACAGUGAACCACCAGCAUUAACACAUUACUCAGGUUUGCAGCAAGAUUCUGAAUUGGUACAGCAUCGGCCAGAAGUUUAUUUUAAAAAUCCUAGGACAGGGUUAUGGGAAGGACCUGCAGAUUUACUGAUGUGAGGAAGGGGUUAUGUUUGUGGCAUUACAGACAAAGAACCCUGAUGGAUACCAGCAAAGUGGGUUCAUCUCUGGCUAGAAAAGGACACUCUGAUCCCUAAUACCACUAAUGAACCUACAACCAGCAACACCUGAAAACAUCCAUUGCCCUCAGAGCUGGAAAUGCUUUUGUUAUCCUUGGGUGAGAUUAGAAUGAGUGGGUGUGGAGCACACAGGUGGUGUGAGUUUGAGGGAGGAAGCUUUGCAAGGUGUGGGGUGUGCAGCUGUUGGCACAGCCAAGAAUUCAAUACCUGGGUGGUGUUAUCCCAAGUGACAGGAAGAACAGGAAAUUCCCCUGAAGCUGCUCAAGAAGCACUGAGCUUGUUUGAAAAUCAAGAGCAAUUGGGGCAGGCUAUUCAGUGGUAUCGUAGUGAACUCCAGAAGCUUGAGCAGAAAGAGAGAGAAUAAAAUCAAGGAUAUUGAGUGUGGUAAGGAAAUAUUUAUCCCUAGGACCUGGGGAGUUAGACCUGAUCAGAGGGAACAAAGAAAGAGAAGCUGGAAAGAAAGGAACCAGGAAAGAAAAAACAGAGGAAGGGCUCAAAGAGCAAGAGGCACAGUUAGUUCAGAUUUUGUCCCUGAUCUCAGAGGGGAAGGGUUCUUUACCAAUGAGCAAGAUGAAGAACAGCUUUAAAUUAGAGAGGUGGGGUUUUGGGAGAUUUUUUUCUAUUGGCUGUAGUAUGUGGUAACAUCUGUAGUGCAGAGGAAAUUAACCCACCAGGAUGGCACUGACAGAAUAUGUGGCUUACUUGGGCCAAGGCUGCUGGGGUGGAUUCCUCUCGUUUAUCCUUGGCCAUGCCUGGAGAUCCCUUCCGCACAGGUCUAAUUGGUAUCCCAGUGAGUGAUUUUACUGGUUUUGCAAGGUGGGUAGGAGCUAGAGGAAAGCCAUACGUGGAAGCAAAUAGAUCAAGCAUGGAGAAUCAUUGGUGUAACAUCAGCAGAGGUGGUACAAAAUUGGACAGAUGCAAAAGGCUGGGAAUUAAGCCAAAGGGCGAAGGCUUCCAAGCAGGAAACUCAACUACAGGACAACAUGAAGAGAUUGACUGUGAAUGACUGAGGGUUGGAUGAAUGUUUUAAGGGGUGGGCAAUAACUGGAUGGUUGAAAGAUAUUGUAAAGGGAAUUAUGUUAGUAUUAGUAGUCAUUACUUUAUUGCUUUGUGUUAUUCCAUGCAUAAUUAAGUUGGUGACCCCCUUAGUAGGGAACACAGUAAAGAGGGUCUGGCUGGUGCAAGAAGGGGGAAUUGUAGCAAUGUAUUUGAACAACUCAGGCCUCAGUGUGCACCAGCCAUACCCUCUGCAACUGUUCUUAUCAGAAUUGUCUCAGGGCUGUGUGGAAUUCAUCAAGGUGACUGAGAUAUAAACUGUGCUAAAAUAAGCACAAAGAAGCUGAGAAACGGCACACCAGGAUGGCAGGAACUGGAUAACAGGGGACUGUGAAACACCUGCAUGGUGACCAAUCACAGAGACUGAGAAAUGGAGGCAGAGAACGAGGGAACGAGACAAAGGCACCAAGCAAGAAGUGUGAUCUUAGCAGUUUGUAGAAUCCAGAAAAGUGUGUGUAAUGUAAACAAUAAACAGCUUCUGCUUGGUCA